rnacentral:tRNA from 1 species
AGCUUUAUAGUCUAAUUAAUGAUAUAAGAUUGCAAAUCUUAAGGUGUAUUUUACUAAAGCUU